GGCGGAUGUAGCCAAGUGGAUCAGGGCAGKGGAUUGUGAAUCCA
rnacentral:tRNA from 1 species